CCAUCUCCCAGGGCACAGUACCAGGGCGACAGUUUUCACACCUCUUGAAAAGGACCACAUUGCUUGUGGGUUAAAAUGGUGUCCAGUGUCUGCUCCACGCUGGGGCCGCUGGGUGAGGUGGGAUGCACGCCACCGCCAGUCUGACUUGGGAGAAACGAAGACAAUAUGAGACCCAAAGCUCUGCAUGGAGAGCAGAAAGUCUAUGGGAGAUGGUGAGCAGAACUGGGUGGGGCUGGACCACAAAAGCAAUGGCCUAGUAGUAAAGAGACAUGAGUGAC